rnacentral:rRNA from 1 species
UACGGAGGGUGCAAACGUUGCUCGGAAUCACUGGGCGUAAAGCGUACGCAGGCGGGUCGAUAAGUCCGUUGUGAAAUCCCAGGGCUCAACUCUGGAACUGCGAUGGAGACUGCCGAUCUUGAGUACGGGAGAGGGGAGCGGAAUUCCUGGUGUAGAGGUGAAAUUCGUAGAUAUCAGGAGGAACACCGGUGGCGAAAGCGGCUCCCUGGCCCGAUACUGACGCUCAUGUACGAAAGCGUGGGGAGCAAACAGG